rnacentral:tRNA from 1 species
CUUAAUAUGGCAGAUUAGUGCAUUAAAUUCAAGAUUUGAAAAUAAAAUUUUAAGA